CUCGUGGAUGCCCUGCCUCGUGAAGAAGUAAAAUAAAAAAAAUUAAAAUUAAUUACAAAAGGCAAAAAUCACGAGACCCCACAAAACGCAACCCUAAAAUCAUCCAUCUCCCUCUCAAUCUCACAGUCUCUUAUUUUCUGGCCAAAUCGCCAUCAUCGAUCAUCGAAUUUCAAUUGCCAACGCUAGUCACCAAUUGUCCGCCGUCAAGGUCGCCGGUAAGUCCUCAAUCUUCUUGGAUAUAGUUUUAAUUUUUUCUUUAUGCAUUUUCUUUCAUGUUUCGAUUCUUUACUUAUCACCUCUUUCCUUUUGCAGUUUUUGUAUCUAUUAUUUCGGGCUUCGCUGCUAUUAAGGUAAUUAUCGAUCUCAAUUAUUCUUCUUCUCUUUUUUCCUUUUUAUUUAUUUAUUUAUUUUUAUACAUUUUAUUGCCUUUUCUGCUUGAUGAAAACAUCUGCUAUAAUGACAAAAAUAAAAAAAGAAUUAAAAAAAUAAAUUGAGUCGAGAUUUAAUAUCAAUUUUGGGGUUGACUUGAUUGUUCUUUAAGUUGGUGCUCAUUUGGUUUCAUUUUGUUUAACGUCAUUGGGGUGGUUUUUGCUGAUGGGGUACAACAGAUCAAGAAAAUUCCUAAUCAAGCUCUUGCUCUGUCCAAUUUUCCAUUUCAACUAUGCAUGAAAUGCAGUUUAUUAUUUAUUUGAAUUCAUUGGAGUACAAUGUCAAUGGGGCUUUGUGAGGUGAGACUUGGUAUUAGUGAGUGUAUUCAAAAUUACGAGGGAAUUGUGAGUGAGUGGAUUUAUAGGCCGAUAUGGUCUUGAUUUGUUCACCUGUUGCAUAAUCCCAGAAACAUUACAACAGUCAUUUUUAAUUCUUUAUUCAAAAUUUUUGUGCAUUAGUCUUCUAAAUAAAUUCCCAGUCAUUAACAGAUGUCAAAAAGCAUAAAGAAGUCAUUAAGUUGGAACAUUGGAUUUACUUUUUUAUAGAAUUUUGGAGUUAUAACCUAUCUUAUUGUGCUCUACUUCUCUUCCACUGCAUUCUUUGAUGCAUUCUUUAUUGAUCUUGUGAUGCUUUUAUUUUGCUACAUUCGACAGGUUGGGCUAUCUGCUUCCAACCCAAAUGCAUCUCUUCAAGUAUUGGACCAUCCAAUUCUAAAUCUUAUCGAUUACAUGGUAAAUUGCUUCUAUCAAGUUUGCCAACCUUUUCUUCCCUAGUUUUGUGUUCUCAUAUAGUUGAUGCAAAAACAGCUGGUCGAGAUUCUUCCUUCAGCACUAGUGCUGUACAUCUUGCGCAAGCUGCCUCCCAAAAUUAUGGUAUGAAGAAGAUGAUGCAUUACUGUAAUUUCUCGUGUAAUGUCAACAAAGCACAGCAGAAGAUAUGAUGAAGUUUAGUUGAUCAAAGAUGCUAGCAUAUUGGGUUCCAAAAUCGAUAAGUCUUUGGACCGUUGCCUAAAAUUUCCACCAAAAAAAUAUAUAAACAUAUAUUGAAGGUGAAGGAGAUAGGAACGGUGAAGAAGAGUAGAUUAUAAGAACCACUAAUAUACGUAAAUUUGUAUUUUUGCUGUAGAGAGAGAAGAUGUUCACAAAAAGAGAAGAUCGGCAACACAGAUUCUAGAAAAGGAUUAUUCUGUUCGUCUCGGGAUUAAAUCCUGGGAAUGCAUCCAGGGCUAAGGUGGCCCGAACUGGAUCAAAUCCCUGUCCCCUUCCCCUGUAUUCGUAGCAGAGCCCUUCUAGAAAAUUGUGUUGCACUUUCAAUUUUCAUUUUAGGGUUUGUUAAUGAUUAAUGUGUGUUUUGGGCCUUUUGACCCAUUAAUGUUAAAUAAAUAUAUUUAUUUAUUAUUUUAAUUCCGAGUCGACUCUGGUUCAACCUCGAUUCAACCAUUUGACCUUUUAACUUUUUCGGGUCAAUGAUUUGAUCGAUUUUCAAAACAUUGAUAUUAAUUGAUGAGAGGCAUUUUUUCAAUUGUCAUUAUUUUUAAUAUAAAUGUGAUUGUGUUUGUAUUCCAUUUA
rnacentral:lncRNA from 1 species